GGUCAAGGCCAGUAAGUGAAGCAUCCUUAAACCUCCCUCUUUCUGUCUCUGUCCUCACAUCCCUGCAAUUUGCGACCAAGCAUAACCACCUCUCCUUUGUUUUUUCCUCUACAGGACUCUCCUGUCUCCUCUCAUAAGGACCCUUGUAAUGAUGUUGAAUCUACCUUUGUAACCCAGCAUUAUCUCCCCAUCUCAAGACCCCUCACUUAAUCCCAUCAGCAAAGUCCACAUAACACGACAUAACCAUAAAUUCUAAGCCUUAGGACAUUGACAGCCUGCCCCCCACCCCCCUCACGUUGCCUGAGGGAUACUGCUCCUCUGUUGGAGGAAAUGACAAUGAUACUGGGGAUGGGUUUUCUUUUCCAACUUAGAAAAAAAAUUAAUACUGGAGGUCCCGUCGCGGCUCAGUGGUUAAGGAAUCCAACUAGGAACCAUGAGGUUGCGGGUUGGAUCCCUGGCUUUGCUCAGUGGGUUAAGGAUCCCGUGUUGCCAUGAGCUGUGGUGUCGGUCGCAGACGCGGCUUGGAUCCCAUGUUGCUGUGACUGGUGUAGGCCAGCAGCUAAAGUUCUGAUAAGACCCCUAGCCUGGGAACCUCCACAUGCCAUGGGUGUGGCCCUAAAAAGACAAAAGACAAAAAAAAAAAAUUAAUGACCAUUCAAAACAGGCUCACGUGUCAUCCUCCUCGGAAACAGAUGCCCUGUUGUGCACAAUAAACAAAUAAUUAAUUCUACUAGAAGAUUGGAUUUCUUGAGAGGUUUUGUUAGGGGAAAAAAAAGCCCAGAGAGAAAAAUCAAGUUGUCCUCACUUAGGCAAAUUUUUUUCUUUUUCUGAGAUCUUGUUUAUCUCAGGUCAACGCUAACGAAAUCGGGAUUUUUAAAAAUAGUUUCUUCCUAUAAACAGAGCCCAUGACGAUGGAGUGAAAAUGGGCUGUUGACUGGUGUGUCCAGACCUAUGCCCUCAAAGAUAUACUUAGCUUUCUCUGCAAACACAGAUAUUCGAAUGCACGUGUCAUUCGACGGAAGAGUUCUCUGGUGUGCUAAGUGCUGUGUUAGAGGAACACACCCGUGGAUGAGACAGUGCCCCUGAGUUGUGCAUGCCAGCGGGGUAGACAAAUAAACAACGUGCAGAUAAAUAUGUUUAACUCCCAUUUGCAUAUUACUUAGCGCUUUGGGAUAUAAAGUUCCUAAAAGGGAGGACGAGAAGGAAGGUGCGAAGUGCUGGAUAGAAUGUUAAUUUACCAGGAACAGUGUCACCUGCAUUGCUGCUGCAGGAUGACAACACAGGUGAGGGGGUGGGACCCGGUUCAGCAUCCAGGCACAGAUACAUCUUGUUCACAAGUCCCUGGGAACUGAGAUCUGUUGGGACGUUGUGGAUGGGCGGUCAGCACCCCGGCACGUCUAGGGACCGGGCGGCGGAGUUUGGGUGAUAGUCUCGCGAUAACUCCGUUCCCAGCAUCUCUGCAUCACCCGCUCCUGGCUUCCGCUGAACAGGCUGCCCUAGUUUUUUAUACUGAAAUCUAAUCCUGGCCGCUUACUGCAAUUUGCGACCAAGCAUAACCACCUCUCCUUUGUUUUUUCCUCUACAGAAACUAGAUUCUUAUGUGGCAGGCUCUCUCAGAAGGAAGCUCAAUUUUUCUUGACUGGGAAUAAAAGUUAUGCGAUUAUAUUUAUGAAGCCUGUCUUCAGCUUAUAUUAAAGGAGUAAAGAUCAAAUACUUUACACAGGAAAAGAGGCCAUGAUGUUCUCAGCAUUGGUUCAUAUUUUAAAGAAUUCAUGGCUUUUGGAUCUCAUUGGAUUUGAACGAGAAAAACAAUUUGAGUUAAUGGAAAUUACAUAGACCCACACAGAGUGAAUGAAAGCUCGGGCACACUCCUAAUUUUCUAUCCCCAUCUCUCUGUUCUAGUUUAUCACACUAAUUUCUCCCCUCAACAUACCGCUCUGUGACUGCGUUGUCCACCUUAAAAAUUGUUACAUUUGAUGUGUAAAAAGAAAUACUUCAAAAGUGACUGGGCUGAACCCCCCAUGAGCUCAAAGCACUUGUUCUGCCCUCCUGACGUUACUGAGGGUUUGUCUAUGUGUUUUUUAGAAGCUGGUUCUCAAUAGAAGAGUUUGGGCACCGAAACAACCAUUGAGGCUUGGGGCACAAUGGCAUCAGCUUAGACACCAGUUAGUGGCAGUUCUCAGUGCUGGAUGCACAUCGGAAGCACCUGGGAGAUUUUUAAAAGUGCAGCUGCCCCAGCCCAAAGGAACCGAUCCAAGUCCCCAGGGUGAAGCUGAGCAACUGCAGGUUUUGAAAAUUCUCCCAGUGCUUCUGCUGCCCAGGGAGGGCUGGGGACAACUGGAAGAGAGGGUGCAAUUUUUCAGCCACAUAAUGACAAUCUAUAGUCCUCAGUCACUUGCAAAAUCCAAACAAGCUAGUACUCCUGGAGAAUCUUGGGUAAAAAGGAAGAAGCAUUGGAACAAUAACAAGAAAGUGAAAAAAAUACUUUACAUUCUGCUGCCUGCUUUCCUUUUUUUCUUCUUAGGGCCACACCUGCAGCGUAUGGAAUUUCCCAGGUUAGGGGUCAGAACUGGAGCUGCAGGUGCCAGCCUACACCACAGUCAGGGCAACACCCCAGAUCCAACUGCAUCUGUGAAUUAUGCCGUCACUUGAGGCACCAACGGAUUCUUAACCCACUGGGCAAGGCCAGGAAUCAAACCUGCAUCCUCAGGGAUACUAGUUUGGUUCUUAACCCGCUGAGCCACAACGGGAACUCUGUUGCCUACUUUCCUUUUGAAUCAAAUUUAUUUGAGGGACAGAGAUACCAAAUUUGCCAGGAAGAUGGAAGUACUGAUUUCCAUGAGAUUUUAUGAACUGACAGCAUUAUCCAUCUACUUAGGAAGUUCACCCUGGCUGUCCUGGUCUUUGUGCAGAAACAAGACGUGGCUCUUUGUCACCAGUGCUUGCUGAGCCUCAGUCCCUUCAUCUCUCCUCCCACUGCCAGGGGCAACUGGCCAGGCUGCUUGGCGUCACUGCGAGGCUGUGCGCUGGCUUUGUGGCUACAGAUGGCACAGAUGAUGGAGACGUGGCACCGACCUGUUCCCUGGAUGCCGAGAGGCAAAGAAUUCAGCUCUGGACUGCAGAAGUCCAACGUCAACCAAGAGAAGCACCGAUGUAAAGAGACGGGGAGCACAGGCGGAGGAGUCACAAGGCACACGUGAGGUUCUUCAGGUCACUGCUGGGCCGAGUCAGGAGGGGCCGGGUCUCACUGGCGGGGCCACAGCCUGGGGAUCUGAUGGACCCCUCCAGCUUUCUCUUCCUCCCCUAGGAACAAGGACACAGGUUUCACGGUUCACGUAGAGCUACGUGAUCAGCCUGGUGAAAGUGCCAAGAGGGUUUAGAAUGCUUCUUAUGUAUUGUCCCUCACUCUCCAAAUGUAAGUUUUUACAGCUUUCUGUAAAUGGGAUUGGAACAUUGUCAAUGCUCAGUGAUCUGAGGACACAGCAUCAAUUGAUAAUGAUAAAAGAAAAAAAUCAAUCAGGACCCUUAUAAAACCCUGGGGAAAUCAACCCAAGUGGAAAACUAUACAUUUUGUGCAGAGGCUUAAAAGAAGGGAAAAUUAUGGCUUUAUUGGAUCUUCCCUACAUUCUGCAAGCAUCGAACAGGCCUGUGUAAUUUAUUUUGUGAGGCUACCGGGUAAGCCUGUGUGAGACGCAGUGAGGGCUCACCAUGAAGUGGGUCAUUAAUUCUCCUUCUGUUUUGCUGCAUGGACACAAAUGAUAAUGAUUAACCCAGUUAUGGGGAGAAAUGACCAAGGCAACCUGAGGCCUUGGGAUGGGGAGACGCUGCAAUUGCAUGUGGACCAUGUGAUGUUUCUUCCUCUUUUCUAAAGGUAACCUUGUCCCCUUCCUUUAUCUAAGUCCUGGGCUGCCUUGUGCGGUCCAUCACGGUAAUUAUUUGUCCUACUCCAAGCACUUUUUGGGGGAUUUGUGCAGAUGGGUGUUUUUUGUUUGGUGUGUUGUUAGUUUUGUUUGUUUGUUUGUUUGUUUGUUUGUUUGUUUUUUAGGGAAGGCUGAGUUUAGGAUUGACUGAGAAGGGGCAGGUGAGAAGGAGUGGCACAUACAAGGAGAGUUAGAUGGGGUCUCUGAGACAAAGCCAAACUGAGACAGAAAGCACUUUGGAUCCAGCCUCCCUGGUCCUAUCUCCAAGCCUGGGCAGUGGGUCUAUGCAUGUGAGUCAACCCAGUUGGCUGAGUUACUGGAGAGAGAGAUGAGGCUGGGCCAUAGGAUGUGGCAUUGGAGGCCCCUGAGCUGCAGUUCUGUAGAACAAAGCAGGGGCACACCUGUCCUGCCAGGUAUUCCUGAUCCUGUCCAGGGGCAGGAGUGUCUGAGGGACCAGAUGUGGAAGAAAGGAGGCCCUGCUUCAGUUUUAUGAGGUAUAAGUCCAGCUUGCUGCAAACACCUGGCAAAGAACAAAGGAGAGGGGGCUGGUGGCCACGGAGCUGGGGGUUUAAGAACCACACAGCAGGCCAAUGACCAUAGCAACAGCUGAGGGCUGGAUUGGCCAGAGCAAUCCAGCACAGCUUUCAUGACUUUCUUUCUUUCUGGUGAACUUGACUGGUGCCUGGAUGGUGAAUGAGCUCUUGGAUUCUUUGACCCAUAAGGGAGGCGGUGGGAUUCUUAGAAAAGGAAAAAAAAUGUUCUUACAGAAUAAGAAGAAGGCUAGAACCACUUGAUUUUAAGAAUAAAGGUUCAGGGAAUUGCCCUUGUGAAUCAGGAGAUUAAGAAUCUGACUAAUGGAGUUCCCGUCGUGGCUCAGUGGUUAACGAAUCCGACUGGGAACCAGGAGGUUGCAGGUUCGAUCCCUGGCUAUGCUCAGUGGGUUAAGGAUCCGGUGUUGCUGUGAGCUGUGGUGUGGGUUGCGGGUGCAGCUUGGAUCUGGCAUGGUUGUGGCGGUGGCAUAGGCUGGUGGCUACAGCUCCGAUUGGACCCCUAGCCUAGAAACCUCCAUAUGCCAUGGGUGCGGGCCUAGAAAAGACAAAAAAAAAAAAAAAAAAAAAAAAAAAAG
rnacentral:lncRNA from 1 species